UACGUAGGGUGCAAGCGUUAAUCGGAAUUACUGGGCGUAAAGGGCUCGUAGGCGGCCAACUAAGUCGGAUGUGAAAUCCCCAGGCUUAACCUGGGAACUGCAUCCGAUACUGGGUGGCUUGAAUCCGGGAGAGGGAUGCGGAAUUCCAGGUGUAGCGGUGAAAUGCGUAGAUAUCUGGAGGAACACCGGUGGCGAAGGCGGGUCUCUGGGCAGUAACUGACGCUGAGAAGCGAAAGCGUGGGGAGCGAACAGG
rnacentral:rRNA from 1 species